GUAAGCGCAAGUCAUCAGCUUGCGUUGAUUACGUCCCUGCCCUUUGUACACACCGCCCGUCGCUACUACCGAUUGAAUGGCUCAGUGAGGCGUCCGGACUGGCCCAGAGAGGUGGGCAACUACCACUCAGGGCCGGAAAGCUCUCCAAACUCGGUCAUUUAGAGGAAGUAAAAGUCGUAACAAGGUCUCCGUUGGUGAACCAGCGGAGGGAUCAUUA
rnacentral:rRNA from 7 species